rnacentral:precursor_RNA from 1 species
UAAUCCUUGCUACCUGGGUGAGAGUGCUUUCUGAAUGCAGUGCACCUGGGCAAGGAUUCUGA